UACAGGGGGUGCAAACGUUGCUCGGAAUCAUUGGGCGUAAAGCGCACGUAGGCGGUUCGUUAUGUCGGAUGUGAAAGCCCUUGGCUUAACCGAGGAAGUGCAUCCGAAACUGGCGAGCUAGAGUACUAAAGAGGAUCGCGGAAUUCCCGGUGUAGAGGUGAAAUUCGUAGAUAUCGGGAGGAACACCGGUGGCGAAGGCGGGUCUCUGGGCCGAUAUUGACGCUGAGGAGCGAAAGCGUGGGGAGCAAACAGG
rnacentral:rRNA from 1 species